GAUCUAAAAAAUCUUAUUAAAAUGUUAUAGCAACAGUAUUAACAAGAUCUUGCUAAAUAGAAAAGAACCCGUAAUCCUGCCACCCUAACCUAAUCAGCAUUUUUAGUUUUGCAUACUUCCUUCAGGUCCUUUUUCUAAAUAAUUUUUUUAUUACUUGGGUCUUUAAAAAUAUUUGAACUCACCUUUUUAUGGUAGGGCUCACGGUGAAUAACUUCUGUGUUUCUUUUCUAGUCUGCGAAACUUGUAUCUGUUUUAAAGAAGGCACUUGAAAUUACAAAAGCAAGUCAUGUGACCCCUCAGCCAGAAGAUAGUUGGAUCCCUUUACUUAUUAAUGCCAUUGAUCACUGCAUGAACAGAAUCAAGGAGCUCACUCAGAGUGAACUUGAAUUAUGACUUUUCAGGCUCAUUUGUACUCUCUUCCCCCUCACCAUCAUGGUCAGGCUCUGAUAUCUGCUUUUAAAAUGGAGCUAGAAUGCUUGCUGGAUUGAAAGGGAGUGACUAUUUAUAUUUAGCAAGAGACACUAUUACCAAAGAUUGUUGGUUAGGCCAGAUUGGCACCUAUUUAUAAACCAUAUGCGUAUAAUAUAUUUUUCUGUGCUAUAUAUGAAAAAUAAUUGCAUGAUUUCUCAUUUCUGAGUCAUUUCUCAGAGAUUCCUAGGAAAGCUGCCUUAUUCUCUUUUUGCAGUAAAGUAUGUUGUUUUCAUUGUAAAGAUGUUGAUGGUCUCAAUAAAAUGCUAACUUGCCAGUGAUUAAA
rnacentral:sRNA from 1 species